rnacentral:rRNA from 1 species
CUCAGGACGAACGCUGGCGGCGUGCUUAACACAUGCAAGUCGAACGAUGAAGCCCUUCGGGGUGGAUUAGUGGCGAACGGGUGAGUAACACGUGGGCAAUCUGCCCUUCACUCUGGGACAAGCCCUGGAAACGGGGUCUAAUACCGGAUAACACUCCUGCUCUCAUGGGCAGGGGUUGAAAGCUCCGGCGGUGAAGGAUGAGCCCGCGGCCUAUCAGCUUGUUGGUGAGGUAAUGGCUCACCAAGGCGACGACGGGUAGCCGGCCUGAGAGGGCGACCGGCCACACUGGGACUGAGACACGGCCCAGACUCCUACGGGAGGCAGCAGUGGGGAAUAUUGCACAAUGGGCGAAAGCCUGAUGCAGCGACGCCGCGUGAGGGAUGACGGCCUUCGGGUUGUAAACCUCUUCAGCAGGGAAGAAGCGAAAGUGACGGUACCUGCAGAAGAAGCGCCGGCUAACUACGUGC